UAAAAUCCAUCAAUGGAGGACAUAAAUAGUAUAAGCUCUGGAUUUGAAAAAUGAUUUCAAAAUCGUUUGCAUCCCUUAGAGCUCUCAAUAUGGUGCCUUAUUAAUAAUGAUUGCCCAGUAAUUGUGGUCGAAUAUUGAUUAAUACCAAGGACCCACUGAAGGCCCCAAGUAAACAAUCACAUUUCUGAAGAGAGUGAAGAUAUGGCUACUGUUUGAAAUAGUCUGAAAUUAGAUUUAGAUCUACAAACUUGUAAUUAAGUACCUAUUGUGAGCAAAGCAGUGAAUUCAAUGCCAAAGGUAAAAUAGCUUUUAAAUUCAGAAUUACAUUUUUAAAAUCAUGAGGAAUAUAAGGUGAAUACAAACAUGUUAAAGAAAUUCCAGCAUAU
rnacentral:lncRNA from 1 species